GUGCACACGAAUUUACUUGCCCUAACAGUAUUGUCUACAUAAUGAUUUUACCUCUCAAACUGACAUGUACAUAUUGUAUACAUGAUCAAAAUGAGAAAAAUAGAAGGCCAUAUCCUUCCCUUAUGCUCUCUUGCUACAACCUAAAGCCAAAAGUAAAAUUAUUUUGGAAAUAUAUUUUUAAUUGAUUAAAUCUGUACUGACUACGAUGAUAUUAUAAUGAAUAAAACAUAAUUCCAUCCUUUAGAGAUUUAGAAAAGGGGCAUCAAACAGAAAAACCUUCAGUAGAAUGAAGUUUGGGAAAGAGUCCAUUUGAUAAGGUUCUUGAUCCUAAGUAACAGCCUUAUAACAGAGAGACCAGGAACACUACUUUGCUUAAAAGAACAUCAUAGAACACUUACAAAAUCAUAAACAUUUACUGCUCAAUAAAUAUCAGAUUAUUCGAUGCUUCAUCAAAAAGGGAAAUUUCUAGAACUAAAAUAGAAAUAAGAAGGAAACUAUUUUGUUCUCUUAUUAAACUUCCUAAGAUCCUGCCCUUCCUAGGCAAUCUUUAGUAUCAGUGGAAAAUGCCCCUACUACAAACUAGUUAAAAGAAGAAGAAGAAGAAGAAUUCCUGACUCUCCUCCAUUGCUUUCUUGCUUAAAGAGUGCGUUUUAGCUUGAAGUAAUUUUGCCUCACCACUACGGAGUGGAAAUAUAUACAUAAUUUUUAGAAACCAUUGCUGUCUUUGAAACAAUGCCUUCUAACAAAACCAAGUCAUUUAUCAAAACGCAUUCCAUCUCUCACAGCAUCCUAAUAGUGAGCAACCUUUCUGCUUUCCUCAAGAGUCAACAGAAAAAGAUGAAGACUCUGACACUGCUGGCAUGCAUUUGUGCACUGACUGCUUGCUUCUCACUCUGUGAAGGUUGGAAAAAGCAAGGGAAAAUACAUCACAAAAGGAAUAAUGUCCAACAAUAUACAGUAGACCGCCGAUUACCAACUCAUCUCAAAUUUCACCCUAACUGGAAUAUAUUAAUUCAAAAGCAUUUAAUUUUUGGUCCACACAGAUACCCAAAGCUUCCAAAUCCAAACAGAAGAAAACCAAAGCCGAACCGUCCCCAGCCACCUAAGUGUCCAACUAAAACUAACACCGUUGUCAACAAUAGCACCUCAGAGGCCAACAUUCAAAUCCCAUCUUUGAGUCCCAUAACUACUUCCAACAAAAUUGUUACAUCUCCAGGUGUGACUUCUACUAAUAAUGUUUCCACCAUAUCUCAAAAAGAAGAUACCAAUACAGGCCCUUCUGCAGCUACCCCAUCAACACAACCUUCCCCCGCCCUGCCAGACACCACAGCUGCCCCACCUACAUCUUCCCUAACUACACCAGCACCACAACCUUCCUCACCUCUACUGGACCACACAACUGCCCCAAAUACCACACCUAAUCCUUCCCCAACCACUCCUGCUUCUCCAACUUCCAAAACUACAACUGCACCCACCACCCAAACUACUACUCCGGCCACUACUCUAACUACUACUGUUGAACAAACAACCUCACCUUCCAGCCAAAAUGCAAAUUCUCAAUUCUGGCAAUAUAUUUAUGAGUUAAUAAAGUACAUUUCUGGUAUUACACCAAAGAAAUAGUACAUCAUACAUUAUGAAGUGUUCUGUUGUCAGACAUGAGUUAUGAGUUAUUUUUGCCACCAAUCUCAAAGUGAAAUAACAAUAUUCUUCAAAUUUAAAGCACUAUCACUAAUCUUUGAAUCUAUUUACCUCACAUGACUUAUUAACAAGAAAAACCACCUCUAUCUCACAAAACAAGUGCAUAACUUUAAUAGAUCACUUUGUGGAACCUAUAGAGACAGCCCUCUGAGGGGGGAAAAGACAUUAACUAAACAGACAAAAUUACAUGGAUCAGGAAACAUUUAUUUUUCCCUAAAUGAUGGAAACCAUAAGGUCACUAUUCUAUACCCUCAACCAAGAACUCACCUGAAUUGUCUAAUCCCACAAAUAUAAAGGGAUAAUAUCAUGUCUCUCAAACAAAAACAUGUAAAUAUAGAUUAACCUAUAUUGUAGGUUAAUCAUUGUAUUACUGGUUAGAGACAAAAAUUCUUUAAACAAUCAUCCUAAAGCCUUAAAUCCAAUUCCAUUCCACAAAAUGUGAACCAAGGAAGGGAAAGUUGAUUUGAAGUGAAGAUUUGAAGUUAGUGAAAAUGAAAUCUGGCAGCCAAGCACAAACCAGGUCCCUGGCACUAUGUAUUUGAGAACAUAUGAUUGUUUAGACUUAUGGUUGAUUUUAAUUGUAUUAUAUCUAAGUUAAUUUGCAUCCAAUGUACUUGAUUCUAGCCUCUGUGAAUCACAAAAAACUUUUUGUGUAUGUUCACAUGGUGGUAAUAUUUUACUAUGAAUUCAAUUAAUUUUAUCUUACUAAUUCAAUUAAUUCAAUGUGAAAUGUAUUCAGCAGCAGAGUAUUUUCUAAAACUUUUAGCCAUACAUUUAUAAAUGUGUUUUAAAGCAAACCAUACUAAACUACUGCCCUGGUGUUACGUUUGCAAAACUGUCUCUGAAAAUAAACCCUGAUUGUAGUCAAUAGGAGAAUAACA
rnacentral:lncRNA from 12 species